ensembl:snoRNA
UUUACAAAAUAAUAGCCAUUAUAGUCUUUCAGUGAUAUGAGCAGUUAUACACAUGGGAUAAAAUAAUACUGGGCCAUUGUAAAUGGAGGUGAAGUCACCAUUUCAUCUCCAUGGUCUAGACACUG